UACGUAGGCAGCGAGCGUUGUUCGGAGUUACUGGGCGUAAAGCGUGCGUAGGCGGUGUUCUAAGUCUGUUGUGAAAUCUCCCGGCUUAACCGGGAGGGUGCGGCGGAAACUGGAACGCUGGAGUGCGGGAGAGGUAAGCGGAAUUCCGUGGUGGUAGCGGUGAAAUGCGUAGAUAUCAGGAGGAACACCUGCGGUGUAGACGGCUUACUGGACCGUAACUGACGCUGAGGCACGAAAGCGUGGGUAGCAAACAGG
rnacentral:rRNA from 1 species